rnacentral:rRNA from 1 species
UGGGGAAUAUUGCACAAUGGAGGGAACUCUGAUGCAGCGACGCCGCGUGAACGAAGAAGGCUUUCGAGUCGUAAAGUUCUUUUAUAUGGGAAGAUAAUGACGGUACCAUAAGAAAAAGCCCCGGCUAACUACGUGCCAGCAGCCGCGGUAAUACGUAGGGGGCUAGCGUUGUCCGGAUUCAUUGGGCGUAAAGCGCGCGCAGGCGGUUGCUCAAGCGGAACCUCUAAUCUCGGGGCUUAACCUCGAGCCGGGUUCCGAACUGGACGACUCGAGUGCGGUAGAGGCAGAUGGAAUUCCCGGUGUAGCGGUGGAAUGCGCAGAUAUCGGGAAGAACUCCAACGGCGAAGGCAGUCUGCUGGGCCGUCACUGACGCUGAGGCGCGAAAGCUGGGGGAGCGAACAGG